AUAUAAUACAGCUUUCUAUUUGUACUGUGAUAUUAUUAAAAGUAAAUUAUUUCCUGUUAAACAAAACAAACAAACAAAAAAAAAAACAUGGAAAUUUAGAGGAAAAUAGGGCUUAUCAAGUCAAACAGGAUCCAACAUAAUUUUAAGUGUAUCCGUCAGAAAAUUCUAAAACAUUUUUUACACUGUGAGUAAAAAAAGUCUCCCUCCAUAGCACCCACUGAACAGACUGCAGCUCAACAGCAGCUUCAUUCUGGUGCUGGAUUGAGGCGGGUGGCUGCAUUGCAAUGCCAACGACACAGCUGAAGUUGGGGGCACGUAGGCGGCACUGGGAAGCCAGCAUACGGUUCAGAGACAGUGGUGGCUCUACUCACCAAAAGGGCUUGGUGGCUGCCAAGUUAGUCCUGACAUCCUUCAAACUCCAAAACAGAAAGAAGAGAGGAAGAAACAAGAAGGCACUUUCAACCAGAGACUGCACCAAUACAACAGAGGAGGCUGUUUGAGGUCUAGUAGCCCUCAAAUCUCAUCUCUUUUACUUUCACAUCUGAGAAGAAGUAAAGAAGUGGCUCUCAGUAUGACCAGUGCUUUCCUUCAUUGCCAAGGCUGCUUUAGACUUCACUGCAGUAAGGAGAUUCUGGACUUCAUGGCAAAUCAGCUCAGCUGCAGCCGGCACCCAGGCACAUUUGGAGUAUACAGCUCAGAGGGCGGAUUUCUGGCGCAUUGGCAAACCCAGGUGAAACAUAUGAAAAUAUUCCAUCUUGUGACUCUCCCCCACUUUUAAGAGGAGGCAAAAGGUAUCAGCAGCAGGAGCAGGCGGUGCGCUGCUCCGUGCACUGUGAUUCACACUGAAACACCGUAGGAGGACUCAUCAAGAAGGAUACUUCCUGUGCUUUGGGACUUGAU
rnacentral:lncRNA from 1 species